rnacentral:misc_RNA from 1 species
AAGUAGAUCCACUCGGCCAUUAUGGGUGAUGGAUUAACUCCAACUAUCAUGACAGCGAAUGUUGUGGUGAUUGGAGCUGGCGUGGUAGGUUUAUCCACAGCCAUCAACAUCCAGCGAUUGGUUCCUUCUUGUUCUGUGACGAUCGUAGCAGAGGAUGUCGUAGAUGGUACGACCAGCGUCGGGGCAGGCGCAAUAUUCAGGCCAACUGAAGAAUAUCUCCCAGGCGUGGACAUACAAAGGGCUCGGUAUACUUGAACAUCAAAACUAAAACCUUUCUUAGAAUAUGAUUUGUCGAAGAGCGUCUUGUACAUCUUUUUCCCUAAAAGAUGACCGGCGUUAAUCUUUUGUAUCUUUUUAAAGGACAUUUGUAAAACGAUGUCGUGAUUUGAAGAAGAAAAACAACAUUUGUUUAUUGUCAGGCAAAAAUUAGCAUACCAUAGCAAAUGUUCGUAACAUGAUAGAAUAUCCCUAAUUGUUACAUACUUUUUUUGUAUACUUUGAUUACGGUUUGAUAUCUCAAGGCAAUGGAUCCGUGAUGGAUGGGAGCACUUUUCUUCUCUGGCAUUGUCAGAACAUUCUGGUCCGGCUGGAAUAGCCAUCACACCUUCGUUUAUGUUGAGUCGAACGGAGAUUAAGGAUCCUUUGUACAAAGAUGUUGUGUUCACAUUUCACGAACUCAGUAGAGAUGAAAUGAAAAAGAUGGGAUUUGACAAACAUUUCAGUUAUGGCUAUCUUGUGACAACCAUUGUGAUAACAACAAAGUUAUACCUGGUCUGGCUUCUGAAGAGAUUUCUACAGAAUGGUGGUAAGGUUGAGAAAAGACGUGUGUCAAAUAUGAACGAGUUCCAGGGUCGAUAUAGGAUUGUCGUAAAUUGUUCAGCAAUAGGAAGUCGACAACUUUUCGGCGACAAAUUGAUUCAUCCAAAUCGAGGACAGCUUUUGCGAGUCAAGGCACCAUGGAUAAAAUAUUGCAUAUACACUGAUGCUGAUGCUUACAUUAUACCAAAUCAGGGUUUGGUGGCCGUUGGAGGAAGCCGAGAUGAAAAUAACUACGAUAUAUCUAUAGAUGACAAGGAAUCCAAAGCAAUUUUGGAAAGAUGUUGCAAAAUUUGUCCUUCUUUAAAGAGGGCAGAGGUCGAUCACGUAUGGGCGGGGUUAAGGCCAGUACGAUCACCUCUCAGGAUUGAAAAGGAAAUCAUCGAAGUUGAGAACGAUCAAUUAACAGUGGUUCAUAACUACGGGCAUUGCUCGGAUGGUAUUGCCCUGAGCUGGGGAACAGCUGUGGAGGCUGCCGGAAUGGUCAGAGACUGCCUCAAAUGUUCUUCCAAACUUUAAAAUAUUGACACUCUUUAACGUGAAUACAAUUAAUAGUACUGGACAUAGUACUCAACAUCUAAUGCGGAUGUGCAAUUGAUUACCAUGUUAAACAAAAACAAGUACUGUUUUUCUACAUUACUGAAAUAUAAAGUGAUAAGUCGC